rnacentral:lncRNA from 1 species
CAUCCUUCCAGUUCCUGGCCUCUCCUCCAACCUCAGCUGCAUUCAUCCUGCCAGGCCGGGCAUGGAAGGAUGCACAUUUUCCAAACACGCUGCUAUUGUCUGGCCCCUCUCCCAGUGGCCUGCACAUACUGGGCUUCCCCAGCUAGCGUCUUCGCCUCCCACAUGGACCGCUCUUCUCUCUGCUCCUCUAACAAGUCUCUUGAGGACUUCCUUUUCCAGGAAUAUGGUCCUUACCACAUCAGCCCUGGAGAACCUGAAAGAGGAUCACAUUGGAAGUCCCCAACACCUUUAAUGGCUCCCCAUUGCCUAUGGGAUUAAGAGCCCCAGCCUCUGGCCAUGUUGUUUCCAUGGUACCUGCAACCCCUUAUGCUAACAAAUGGGGAUCCCUCGUAACAGAAGUAUGUCAGGACUGCUGUUCCGACCCUACUCGGCAUCUACCUCACCCGGACCCCAGCCGCCCAACAAUGAAUGUG